rnacentral:rRNA from 1 species
GCGCGAAAACUUUACAAUGCACGAAAGUGUGAUAGGGGAACUCAGCGUGCUCAUGGAAACCAUGGGCUUUUCUUCAGAGUAAAUAUCUGAGGGAAUAAAGGAUGGGCAAGACCGGUGCCAGCAGCCGCGGUAACACCGGCGUCCUGAGUGGGAAUCACUUAUUAGGUCUAAAGCGCUCGUAGUUGGCUUUGUCGAUCUUUUGUGAAAUCGUGUCGCUUAACGGCACGGCGUGCAAAAGACACCGCAGAGCUUGGGACUGGGAGGCGUCAGAAGUAUUCCUUAGGGAGCGGUAAAAUGUGAUAAUCUAAGGAGGACUACCUGUGGCGAAGGCGUCUGACGAGAACAGGUUCGACAAUCAGGAGCGAAGGCUAGGGGAGCAAACCGG